rnacentral:rRNA from 1 species
UUUCGUAGGGGAACCUGCGGGAGGGUCAUU